rnacentral:tRNA from 2 species
AGUACUGUGUGGGGGAUAAUCCAGCUGUCUUGAUGUGGCAGAGCUCAAUAGUUUAACUUUUUAGUGCUU